rnacentral:rRNA from 1 species
AUACGGAGGAUCCGAGCGUUAUCCGGAUUUAUUGGGUUUAAAGGGUGCGCAGGCGGGAGAUUAAGUCGGCGGUGAAAUUUUGCAGCUCAACUGUAAAAGUGCCUUCGAAACUGGUUUCCUUGAGUGUAGAUGAAGUAGGCGGAAUUUGUGGUGUAGCGGUGAAAUGCAUAGAUAUCACGAGGAACUCCGAUUGCGCAGGCAGCUUACUAAACUACUACUGACGCUCAGGCACGAAGGCGUGGGGAUCAAACAGGAUUAGAUACCCUGGUAGUCCACGCAGUAAACGAUGAUUACUAGCUGUUUGCGAUACAAUGUAAGCGGCUGAGCGAAAGCGUUAAGUAAUCCACCUGGGGAGUACGUUCGCAAGAAUGAAACUCAAAUGAAUUGGCGGGG